CUUGGGAGUCACUGGUAAACUAGCUCUGGUUUCCUAAUCCCAGCAGCGGAUGGUCAGGGGUGUGGGGAUUUGCAGUUAAUUAAUUCAGCCACCUGUAGCUCUCAUUCAGUGCUGCUCCCUUCCACCUCCGCACAAAGUCAUUGGCGGUGCUGAGCUGUUUGGCCUCGGCAGCCUGGCAAGCGCACCGUGGCGAAGCUGUCUCUUUCUUCCUGAGCAUCCGCUUCUGUUCUCUCCUCCUUCAUCUCCCUCUGCAGAACUUCAAGUCUGUGUUGGAAUCCUGUGGGGCAUUUCUAGCCCGACUCCUAACGUGUCUGUCUGCAACCUCUUUACUGUGCCAGCUGCAGAAAAUAAAACAACAACAACAAAAAAAGGAUGACUUCCAGUAAACGAAGGGGGAGAGAUGGAGAGUCAAGGAGCCCAUCCAGCAAUGAGAAACAGGGGCCAGUGAGGAGCCAUGAUGGAAUGUGGAACAAUAAGAAAGAUGUCAACAGCACGUGGAAGACUCAACUUGGAAGUCCCCUGACCACUGUUGCUCAAACAAGGCAGGAGACCAUCCUUCGCCCAUAGAGAAUGAAGGGACCAUUUAACCUUUUAAUGUUUUGUACUUGACCCACAAGUUCUUUUUAUAACACCAGUCCCA